GACGAACCGUGCGAACGUUAUUCGGAAUCACUGGGCUUAAAGCGCGUGUAGGCGGGAGGGCACGUCCGUCGCUGAAAUCCCCCGGCUCAACCGGGGAACGGGCGCGGAUACGACCUUCCUUGAGGGGCGUAGGGGGACCUGGAACUUCCGAUGGAGCGGUGAAAUGCGUUGAGAUCGGAAGGAACGCCCGUGGCGAAAGCGAGGUCCUGGACGCCUACUGACGCUGAGACGCGAAAGCCAGGGGAGCGAACGGG
rnacentral:rRNA from 1 species